GAUGAACGCUGGCGGCGUGCCUAAUACAUGCAAGUCGAGCGAACAGACGAGGAGCUUGCUCCUCUGACGUUAGCGGCGGACGGGUGAGUAACACGUGGAUAACCUACCUAUAAGACUGGGAUAACUUCGGGAAACCGGAGCUAAUACCGGAUAAUAUAUUGAACCGCAUGGUUCAAUAGUGAAAGACGGUUUUGCUGUCACUUAUAGAUGGAUCCGCGCCGCAUUAGCUAGUUGGUAAGGUAACGGCUUACCAAGGCAACGAUGCGUAGCCGACCUGAGAGGGUGAUCGGCCACACUGGAACUGGGACACGGACCAGACUCCUACGGGAGGCAGCAGUAGGGAAUCUUCCGCAAUGGGCGAAAGCCUGACGGAGCAACGCCGCGUGAGUGAUGAAGGUCUUCGGAUCGUAAAACUCUGUUAUUAGGGAAGAACAAAUGUGUAAGUAACUAUGCACGUCUUGACGGUACCUAAUCAGAAAGCCACGGCUAACUACGUG
rnacentral:rRNA from 1 species